rnacentral:rRNA from 1 species
GAUGAACGCUAGCGGCAGGCUUAACACAUGCAAGUCGAGGGGCAGCGCGAUGUAGCAAUACAUUGGCGGCGACCGGCGCACGGGUGCGUAACACGUAUGGAACUUACCCUUUACUGGGAGAUAGCCCGGAGAAAUCCGGAUUAAUAUCCCAUAAUAAACGAAGUGGCCUCACUUUGUUUUGAAAGCUCCGGCGGUAAAGGAUGGCCAUGCGCACGAUUAGCUAGUAGGUGAGGUAACGGCUCACCUAGGCUACGAUCGUUAGGGGGCCUGAGAGGGUUAUCCCCCCACACUGGUACUGAGACACGGACCAGACUCCUACGGGAGGCAGCAGUGAGGAAUAUUGCGCAAUGGAGGCAACUCUGACGCAGCCAUGCCGCGUGCAGGAAGAAGGCGCUACGCGUUGUAAACUGCUUUUAACCGGGAAGAAACCCUCCGACGUGUCGGAGGUUGACGGUACCGGAGGAAUAAGCACCGGCUAACUUCGUGCCAGCAGCCGCGGUAAAGUAGACG